ACUAAUAUAGCUUAAUGAAAGCGUAGCACUGAAAAUGCUAAGAUAAUUAAUUUUUAUUAGUA
rnacentral:tRNA from 1 species